GGUUGCGGACAUAUCAUAACGAAGAGGUAUCGUAAUUGAAGAGGUUUGGAAAGACCCACCACAGAAGGUAAUAGUCCUGUAUGUUAAACGAGAAGACUUUAGAUAUGAUCCAGAGUACCACGGGACACGUGAAACCCUGUGGGAAGCAGGAGGGACCACCCUCCAAGGCUAAAUACUACCUAGUGACCGAUAGCGUAUAGUACCGUGAGGGAAAGGUGAAAAGAACCCCGGGAGGGGAGUGAAAUAGAACCUGAAACCCUGCACUUACAAGCUGUGGAAGCACAUUUCUUGUGUGACCGCGUACUUUUUGUAGAACGGGCCAACGAGUUACGUUAAGUAGCAAGGUUAAGCACUUAAGGUGCGGAGCCGUAGCGAAAGCGAGUUUUAACUGAGCGUUCAGUUACUUGACGUAGACCCGAAACCGGGCGACCUACCCAUGAGCAGGAUGAAGCGAAAGUAAAAUUUCGUGGAGGUCCGAACCCAUGAGCGUUGAAAAGCUCGGGGAUGACUUGUGGGUAGCGGUGAAAUUCCAAUCGAGCCCGGAGAUAGCUGGUUCUCCCCGAAAUAGCUUUAGGGCUAGCCUCAAGGUGAGAGAUACGGAGGUAGAGCACUGAAUGUCCUAGGGGGUAUUGCACCUACCGAAGACUAUCAAACUCCGAAUGCCGUCAUCUUAUACUUGGGAGUCAGACUGUGGGUGAUAAGAUUCAUAGUCGAAAGGGCAACAGCCCAGAUCGUCAGCUAAGGUCCCUAAAUGUAAGUUAAGUGGUAAAGGAUGUGGGAUUGCACAGACAACCAGGAUGUUGGCUUAGAAGCAGCCACUCAUUCAAAGAGUGCGUAAUAGCUCACUGGUCGAGUGAUCCUGCGCCGAAGAUUUCCGGGGCUAAAACUUACUACCGAAGCUACGGCAUCAGUAAUGAUGGGUAGGGGAGCUUCCCAUACGGGUUGAAGCAUGACCGUAAGGACAUGUGGACAGUAUGGGAGUGAGAAUGUUGGCAUGAGUAGCGAGAUGUGGGUGGGAAUCCCACAGGCCGUAAACCCAAGGUUUCCAGGGGAAGGUUCGUCCGCCCUGGGUUAGUCGGGACCUAAGCUGAGGCCGAAAGGCGUAGGUGAUGGACAACAGGUUGAUAUUCCUGUACUACCGAUAACCGUUUGAGAGAAGGGAUGACACAGUAGGAUAAGCUAAGCACACUGUUGGUUAUGUGUGCCCAAGCAUUGAGGCAGUCAAAGUAGGCAAAUCCGCUUUGAUAAUGCUGGGAUGUGAUGGGGAGCGAAAUUUAGUAGCGAAGUAGCUGAUUUCACACUGUCAAGAAAAGUCUCUAUCGAGGUUAAAGGUACCCGUACCGCAAACCGACACAGGUGGGUGAGGAGAGUAUCCUAAGGCCAGCGAGAGAACUGUUGUUAAGGAACUCGGCAAAAUGACCCCGUAACUUAGGGAUAAGGGGUGCCACCAUCAGGUGGCCGCAGAGAAUAGGCCCAAGCGACUGUUUACCAAAAACAUAGGUUUCUGCUAAGUCGCAAGACGAUGUAUAGGAGCUGACGCCUGCCCGGUGCUGGAAGGUUAAGGGGAUCUGUUAGAGCAAUCGAAGCAGUGAACUUAAGCCCCAGUAAACGGCGGCCGUAACUAUAACGGUCCUAAGGUAGCGAAAUUCCUUGUCGGGUAAGUUCCGACCCGCACGAAAGGCGUAACGAUUUGGGCACUGUCUCAACAACAGACUCGGUGAAAUUGUAAUUCCGGUGAAGAUGCCGGAUACCUGCGACAGGACGGAAAGACCCCAUGGAGCUUUACUGUAGCUUGACAUUGGGUCUUGGUACUACAUGUACAGGAUAGGUGGGAGGCUUUGAAACCAGGACGCCAGUUUUGGCGGAGCCAUCCUUGGGAUACCACCCUUGUAGUACUGGGACUCUAACCA
rnacentral:rRNA from 1 species